rnacentral:rRNA from 1 species
CGCCGCGUGGAGGAUGAAGCCCCUUGGGGUGUAAACUCCUUUCGAUCGGGACGAUUAUGACGGUACCGGAUGAAGAAGCACCGGCUAACUCUGUGC